UACGUAGGGGCCUAGCGUUGUCCGGAUUUAUUGGGCGUAAAGAGCUCGUAGGCGGCUUGGUUAGUCAGGUGUGAAAUCUCCACGCUCAACGUGGAGGGGCCACCUGAUACUGCCAUGGCUUGAGUCCGGUAGGGGAGUGUGGAAUUCCCGGUGUAGCGGUGAAAUGCGCAGAUAUCGGGAGGAACACCCGUAGCGAAGGCAGCCCCCUGGGAUGUGACUGACGCUCAUGUACGAAAGCGUGGGGAGCAAACAGG
rnacentral:rRNA from 1 species